rnacentral:rRNA from 1 species
UACGUAGGGCGCAAGCGUUGUCCGGAAUUAUUGGGCGUAAAGAGCUCGUAGGCGGUCUGUUACGUCCGCUGUGAAAUCCCAGGGCUUAACCCUGGGCUUGCAGUGGAUACGGGCAGACUAGAGGCAGGUAGGGGAGAAUGGAAUUCCCGGUGUAGCGGUGAAAUGCGUAGAUAUCAGGAGGAAUACCGGUGGCGAAAGCGACUCUCUGGACGGCAACUGACGCUGAGGCACGAAAGCGUGGGGAGCAAACAGG